rnacentral:pre_miRNA from 15 species
GAAGGUGUAUUGCUGUUGACAGUGAGCGACUGUAAACAUCCUCGACUGGAAGCUGUGAAGCUGCAGAUGGGCUUUCAGUCGGAUGUUUGCAGCUGCCUACUGCCUCAGACUUCAAGGAGCUAC